UUCUGCAUUGCAACUUAAGACAAUGAAAUAACUGAGGAAGGUACACCGCUUGCUGAAAUAAGCAAACUGAGCACUCAGAAAAUAAAACCUAAGUAGAAUUUUACUUCUGUGAAAAUACCUAUUUAUUUGUUGUCUUGGAUUUGGAAUUUGUGUGUGAAUGAGGAAAAAGGAAGUUACUCUGAACGAAAGAAGGCAGUUUUCCUAAAUAUGGUUCAUAGCCCAAGAGAGGAUUAUUUUCACUUCUAAGGUAUUUGGAAAUGCAUUCCACAAGUAACAGUACAGAAAGCUAUUCCAAGACAAAACGCUGUAAAAAAAUGCUAAACGACACCCAAGUGGAAGAUAUUCCUUGCACUGGAAGAGUAAAAAUGAAGAGGAAGCAAACAGGAAAAGACUAUACAGCAGAACCAGGCACUAUUCUAAGAAGCCCCAAAUUACCCAAGAAGCAGAGAAACUAUUCCAAAAAGGGAGAAGACCUUUCUCGAGAUGACCUUUUAUUUCUUUUGAGUGUGCUGGAGGGUGAAUUACAGGCUCAAGAUGAAGUCAUAGGAGUUCUGAAGGCUGAAAAAAUUAACCUAGCUUUACUCGAAGCACAAUAUGGCUUUGUUACUCCAAAAAAGGUCCUUGAGGCACUUCAACGAGAUGCUAUACAGGCCAAGACGACACUAUGGCAGGAGGAUAUCUAUGAAAAACCCAUGGGAGAGCUUGACAAAGUGGUUGAAAAGCAUAAAGAAACACACCGACGUAUGCUAGAGCAACUCUUAAUGGUAGAAAAAUCUCAUAGGCAAACUCUGUAUGAGCUAGAAGAUGAGAAGAGGAAGCAUGCAGAGUACAUGGAGAAAAGUGAUGAAUUUACUAAUUUAUUGGAACAAGAACAAGAAAGAUUAAAAAAACUUAUUGACCAAGAAACAGCCUAUCAGGCAAAAAAAGAGAAGGAAAGCAGCAAGAAAGUAAACAAACUGAAGGAGGAGCUGACAAAACUCAAGUCAUUUGCUUUAAUGGUAGUAGAUGAACAGCAAAGACUUACAGAACAGUUAAGCCAGCAAAGCCAAAAGAUUGAAGAGCUCACUGUUGCUGCAGAAGAAGCUCAUGAGAAGCUCUCCACUGCAGAAACCAAAGCUCAAGAAGAGGAGCAGAAAGUUCUCAAGCUGGAAGCAGAACUUCAGUCACAAAUAGACAAGAUUGCCCAAGAACAGGAAGUUGCAAUGGCCAAACUAACCAAUGAAGAGAGCCAGAAUCGCCAGCUCAGGUUAAAGUUAACAGCUCUCAGUCGACAAAUUGAUGAACUUGAAGAGACUAAUAAAUCCCUACGAAAGGCUGAAGAAGAACUACAAGACCUUAGAGACAAAAUUACUAGAGGUGAGUGUGGAAAUUCUACCCUUAUGUCUGAAGUGGAAGAGCUAAGAAAACGAGUCCUGGAAAUGGAAGGGAAAGAUGAAGAGCUCAUCAAAAUGGAAGAACAGUGUAGAGAACUUAAUAAGAAGCUAGAAAAAGAAGACUCACAAGGCAAGAACUUUAAAGCCGAAGUUGAUAAACUCAACAAGAGAAUAAUGGAGCUUGAGAAACUGGAGGAUGCUUUCAGCAAAAGUAAGCAGGAAUGCCAUGCUCUGAAAUGCAGCCUAGAAAAAGAAAAAAUGUUAACAAAGCAGCUGUCACAAGAACUGGAUGGCUUAAAAGCUCGGCUGGGAGAACUUGAGACCAUAGAAAACAAGCUGGAAAAAACAGAGUUCAUGCUUAAGGAAGAGUUGACUAAACUGAAGUCACUGACAGUAAUGCUAGUUGAUGAGAGGAAAACUUUGAAUGAAAAAAUAAAACAAACUGAAGAAAAGCUACAGGCUACAAAUUCACAGCUUCAGCUAGAGCAAAAAAAAGUAAUGUCAGUUACAGAAAAACUGAUUGAGGAAAGUAAAAAGGCAUUAAAAUCAAAGACUGAUGCUGAGGAGAAAAUGUCCAACCUCACAAAAGAAAGAGAUGAGCUAAAAAACAAACUAAAAGCAGAGGAAGAGAAAGGAAAUGAUCUCUCCUCCAAACUGAAUCUUCUACGGAAAAAGCUUCAAUCCCUAGAAGCCAUUGAAAAAGAAUUCCUCAAAAAUAAACUGAAAGAGACCAGCAAACCUAACUCAGUUUUACAGCAGGAAAACAACAAAAUCAAAGAACUAGGGCAAGAAAUUGAGAGGCUUAAACACAAACUAAAUGAAAUGAAGUCUAUAGAAGAUGAUCUCAUGAAAACAGAAGAUGAAUUUGAAUCUCUAGAACGUAGGUACGUUAAUGAACAAGACAAAGUCCGUUUUUUGUCAGAGGAACUUGAGGUUGUAAAAAGAGAACUGGCUCGGUAUAAGUUAGCAGAAAAGACAGAAUCCAACCAUGAACAAAGACUCUUCAAAAAACUUAAAGAAGAAUCAGCCAAAUCAGGUCAUCUUUCAAGGGAAGUAGAUGCACUGAAAGAAAAAAUUCACGAGUACAUGGCAACAGAAGAUUUAAUAUGUCAUUUAAGGGAAGAUCACGCAAUCCUGCAAAGAAAAUUCACUCACCAAGAAAACAAGAACAAAGAAUUAGUAAGAGAAAUGGAAAUGCUUACCAAAGAACUAGACAGGUACAGGCGUUUCAGUAAGAGCCUCAGACCAAGUCUCAAUGGAAGGAGAAUUUCUGAUUUGCAGGUUUUCUCUAAAGAAGUCCAAACAGAGCCAGCAGAUAAUGAACCACCUGAUUAUAAGAGUCUUGUUCCUUUGGAACGAGCUGUCAUAAAUGGACAUUUAUAUGAAGAGAGUGAUAAUGAAGAAGAUGACAACAAUGAUGAUGAGCAAACGGUGUCUUUCAGAUGCAAUUCAUCUGUUGCAAAUGCAGUAAACAAUAAACUUUGGAUCCCCUGGAUGAAGUCCAAAGAAAGCCAAAUUCAGAAUGGAAAAGUUCAUGCCAAGCAGAAUGGAAACUGCAUUCAACCUGGAAACCUAGUACUAAGUCACACACCGGGCCAACCUCUUCACAUAAAAGUUACUCCAGAUCAUGGUCAAAACACAGCCACUCUUGAAAUAACUAGCCCAGCUGCAGAGAGCUCUCACUCGUUCACUAGUACUGCUGUGAUACCCAACUGUGGCACACCAAAGCAAAGAAUAACCAUCAUUCAAAAUGGAUCUUUAAUGCCUAUAAAAUCUAAAGCAGUUGAUGGUUACUCAAGUCCAGAGCAAACAAUGCCACCUCUUACUAUGGCUACCUUUGCUAGAUCCCAAACACCUGAAUCAUGUGGCUCUGUGACUCCUGAAAGGACAAUGUCUCCUUUAGCUCUGACAAGCUCCAUGAACUCACCAGAGCAAGUACUGUCACCCGAACCCCUAGAAAUUGGUGACAGGCAUGCUAUCUUUAGAGUAUCUCCAGAAAGGCAGUCCUCUUGGCAGUUCCAAAGAUCUAACAGUUCUGGUUCCAGUGUGAUAACUACUGAGGAUAAUAAAAUACAUAUUCAUUUAGGAAGCUCCUAUGUUCAAGCUAUUCCUAAUUCAGCAAAAACUGUCAGCCCCUGCACUCCUGUGCAAGAUAACAGAGCUCCAGCACUGACUAAUGGAACACCAAGUAAACCUAUCAACAAAGUCACCAGUAGCAUUACUAUUACACCAACAGCCACUCCUCUCCCACGACAAUCACAAAUUACAAUCGCUGAUGUCUUCCGUCAAGCAAUUCCUACUCGAAUCCCUAAAUCAAAAGCUAUGACCACAACUGUGGUACCAGUGAAGAUACCUACUGGACAACUCAAGACAUCACUCCAGGACAGUAAGGAUGGAAAAAUGCACAUCACAAGAACCAUACCCAAUGGUGUCACUCAAAAUGGUGGGAAAAAAUAGGUGACUGCUCAGUGUGUCACAAACUGAUGCCUAACUUUUAAUGAAAAAAAUUCUUCCAAGACUUAUGAAACGCCAUUGAUAAGUAGAAAAUAUUUAUUUACGUCAUUUAUAGUCUGCCUUUCUCACUGAGACUCAAGGCAGAUUACACGGCAUAAAUCAAUACAAUCAACAGCAGGGAUGUUCGGUAAACAAUGCAGUAAGGUAAGGAUAUGAUCACACUGGAAGUAUAAUGGCAUCUGGACAUGAAUCUGUUGUCCGUCAAUCCAUACAAUUGUGAGUAACUCAGCUUCUCCAUAUUCCUGAUUUGUAUCCUGUUACAGGACAACAGUAUACCCCUUAAUACGGACUGGGAAAUAAGGUUGCAAAGGACUUCAAAUGCUAACCCAGGGUCUAUUAUCAAUCAACUUUUUCAAGAACAGAUACAAUAUCUUCGGCGAUGAAUUAAGUGAGGAGGAAGAGGAAGGAGAAUCAAGGAGGAAUAGAAGAAGGAAAGGACUCAGAGACUAACUCCUCUUAUCCGGAUGUGAAGAAACAAGAUAAAUAGAAGAAUGAUUCUUACAAGGGACUUCUGCCGAAGAUAUAGAAACUGUAUAUGAACUUAUGGGGAGGGGUUGGGCAAUGGGUAUAUAUGUACGGGAAUAAGGAUGUUUCGAAGGAAAUGCACAAAAAUAUACAAUAAAAAAAAAAGGCUUAAUGGAAUGCAAGGCUCUUAGCAGACUACCUUCAGCCUCCUCAUGUCCUGGAGAUAUGCAGAAAUCUUGACAAUAAAGACAACUGAGAAUUUCUGGUCUCCAUUCUUCCCUUACCUUAUCAAAAGUUAAAUUAUCUCCCCUGGGUCAUUAAAUUACCUGGGUCAUCCAUCAGCACAAGUAUGUUUAUUAACAUUCAUCAAUUCCUUUGGUCCACAUCAGAAACUUUAAGCUAUGCCUCUAUCCCUCUGUUACCUUCAAUAGACAAAUGUCCUGUUUGUUUAUCACCUCCUGGGGAUUAACAUCCCUGUUCUUGUUUCUCUUGGGGAUAAACAUCCCUUUUCUUGUUUUCUCCCGGAGACAACUUUUGAAUUAUUGUUAUUGGAGGCAAGUAGGGCCUUCCUGUCUUAUGGUCCAUUUUACAGUAUAAAUGGUCCGACCUGAGCCCAGUAAGCGUGUGCAGCUUUCAGGGACCCAAAAAGACUGCCACUCUCAGAGCAUCUCUGCAAGAACACUGGCCAUUUCAAACUGCUCUCCUCUGAGGACAACGCUAUUCUUCUAGAUGGUAAUUAUUACCCAAUCCCUGCAUCUCUCUCUCCAAUUUCCCCAAUGCCUUCCUAGAAAUCUGUGCAUGUAGACAGAUUUUAAUUAAUUUAUUUAUUUAUGUCAUUUAUAGUCCGCACUGACACUCAAGGCAGAUUACACAGUGUGAGAUUAGUACUGUCAAUAUCAAGAAUAUUUCCAUAAACAAUGCCAUAGGGUAAGUAAAUACAAGUUGACAAAGACACAGCAUUAGCAGGAAUCCAAUACAACAUAGUGGUGAAGGCUAUGGUUCCUAAUUCAUUAGCGGAUCAUGUGAGAUCCCCUCCCUACAAUACAGCUCUAGUAUCUGAGUCAAAAGCCUUUUUGAAUAAUUUGGUAUUGCAUUGUUUGCAGAAAGCCAGGAGAGUGAGGCCUCUCCUGACCUCCUCAGGCAGGCCAUUCCACAGGGUAGGGGCCACCACAGAGAAAGCCCAUGUACGGGCUGCUGUUGAUUUUGCUGAAGUGUAGGGUGGCACCUGCAGGAGACGCUGUUUGGAAGAGCGAAGCUGCCAUGGAGGAGCAUAGGGAGGGAGAGGGUCCUGUAGGUA